UGUGUAGGCGGGACAGUAAGUCAGAGGUGAAAUCCCACGGCUCAACCGUGGAACUGCCUUUGAUACUGCUGUUCUUGAGUCUCGGAGGGGUUGCUGGAAUUCGUGGUGUAGCGGUGAAAUGCGUAGAUAUCACGAGGAACACCAGAGGCGUAGGCGGGCAACUGGACGAGUACUGACGCUGAGGCACGAAAGCGUGGGGAGCAAACAGGAUUAGAUACCCUGGUAGUCC
rnacentral:rRNA from 1 species